rnacentral:sRNA from 1 species
UGGAAAAAUAGUACCGUAGACAGUAGGGGCUUUAAGCUUAAUUUCCUACCGAGGAACUUAAAUAAACUUUAAGAACUUCGACCUAACUAUGGACUAUAGUUAGGUUUUAUUU